AUUGAACGCUGGCGGCAGGCCUAACACAUGCAAGUCGAGCGAAUGAGGGUAGCUUGCUACCUGAUUUAGCGGCGGACGGGUGAGUAAUGUAUAGGGAGCUGCCCGAUAGAGGGGGAUACCAGUUGGAAACGACUGUUAAUACCGCAUAAUGUCUACGGACCAAAGUGUGGGACCUUCGGGCCACAUGCUAUCGGAUGCACCUAUAUGGGAUUAGCUAGUUGGUGGGGUAACGGCUCACCAAGGCGACGAUCCCUAGCUGGUUUGAGAGGAUGAUCAGCCACACUGGAACUGAGACACGGUCCAGACUCCUACGGGAGGCAGCAGUGGGGAAUAUUGGACAAUGGGCGCAAGCCUGAUCCAGCCAUGCCGCGUGUGUGAAGAAGGCCUUCGGGUUGUAAAGCACUUUCAGAAGUGAGGAAGGGUGUGUAGUUAAUACCUACAUAUCUUGACGUUAGCUUCAGAAGA
rnacentral:rRNA from 1 species